rnacentral:lncRNA from 1 species
AGACAAUUUAAGAUUCAUUUGUGAAAAGAGAACAGUCUCUAAACUUGUAAUAUAUCAGAUUUUGGUAUAAAAAUAAAGAUAAAUAAAAGUAGUGUGAGAUACUAUUUUUAUUGGGUUUCGAAAAGCAAAAUAUAUGUCUAGAGUGACUUGUGCUGAAAUCGGAAUGAAAACAGAAUAUUUAUAAUUUUCUGUUGGAAACGGGGCGGAUAAAAUUAGCAGGAAAUGCACAGUGUCAGAAAAUUAUGAAAAUUGGCGGUAGAUGUCAGAAAUAUUUUUAUGAGGCUAGAUUUAAAGUUUCAUACCAUUCUGACACCCGUAGAGAGAGAAAUAGAAUCCGAAAGCUAUCUGAUAAAGAUUGCAGUCCGGUACAGUUUUCGAUGACCAAACGUGGUCGAAACUGAAAGAUUAAAAUUUCUUCGGACUUAUUAAGAAAA